CAUGUAUAUACCAGAGACUUGAUAUUAUCUGUUAUCUUUGUCGGGAGGUCCGAAUUUUUUUGGGUACCCAAUCACACCUAGCUUUCCUGAUCAGCGAAAUAGCGCCAUAACAUACACUUAUGAUAUUCUUACUUCGUUUCAGACAGUUUCCCUAUUUACCUAUAAAUGUAAUCAAUUCACCAAUAUUUGCAAAUUGGGGGACCAGGAUAGCUUACCAUUUAAAUAUUCAUUCCCAAACUGUGGAAGCAAGGUGACAUCGCAUCAAGAUAUGAUCAACAUCUUCAUCAGCCAGUGAACAAUAACCACACAGUGUGGAUGUGAUUGACACACCUCUUCUCUUAAGCGAACAGGCAAUGGGAAUUCACCCCAAAUUUGCUCUCCAUAUAAAGCAUGUAACUUUAAUCGGGACUUCAUGAAUCCAUGGUAUAACUCCUUCAUUAGCCGCCAGUUGAGUAUGAUCAAUUAUUUGUCUAAGUACAUCCACAUGAUACUUGCCAUCAUUGGAUAGAUCGCAUUUCCAAUGAUCUAACCUCCCUGUUGGUUGGAAUGUACCAAUCUUAGAUGAAAUAAUGUUGAGAUUAUGCACCUGAUCUUCAGAAACUGGGGGUGAUCUCCAAUCCCAGAUCGUUUUUUGCCCUUGCCCCAUUGCUCUAAACGCCAGUAAUUGAUUUCUUCGACAUGCCAGUGAUCACACGAGACCAUAAUGCCGAGCCAUCUAUUCGUAGUCACCACCACCAUUUGGUGAUCAAGGACAAGUUGAAAGCUCUAAGUGAUCUCAAUCCCAGCCCACCUAUUUCUUUUGGUGCUACUAUUUUUUCCCAUAUCAUCUAAGUUAUUUUAUAUUUAUUGUCCAGUCCGCCCCAAAGGAACUGCCUUCAGAUUUUUUCCAAUGUAUCAAUCACUCCCAUAGGUGCAACAAAUAAAGAGAAGAAGUAAGAUGGAUGAGAUGGAAGGCUGCCUAAAACUGCCUUGGCAAGGGUUAAACGACCUCCAAAUGAAAGGUUUUUUGCCUUCCAAGGAGAUUGUUGGGAGUGAAAUCUUUCAAUUAUAGGCUUCUAGUGUUUUCUCAAGUUCGUGUUUGCACUUACUGGAAAUCCAAGGUAGGGCAAUGGUAGUGUGGCAGGUUGACAACCUAAGGGUAGGGCCCAUCGAGUUAAGCAUGAAGAUACUAUUAAAGGAUGUUUUUUUUUAUUACAUUGAGUUAAUAAAUCGAGUGUCAAGGAAAAAGCUUUGAUGACGAUUUAAUUAAAAAAAAAAAAAAAAAAAAAAAAAAAAAAAAAAAACAAAACAUUCUCAAGUGAAAAUAUGGUAAUAUGUGGUGUGAAGUGCAUUGUUAUUUAAGAUUUGGACUUAACUGUGUUAAGAUAUGAACAUUUAUUAAUUUUGGUAA